rnacentral:rRNA from 1 species
CUGGGAACGUCUGGGGAGGACUGCCGGUGAUAACCGGAGGAAGCGGGGAGUGACGUCAAGUCCUCAUGGCCCUUACAUCCCGGGCUACACACGUGCUACAAUGGCAGGUACAGAGGGCUGCGAAGCCGCGAGGUGGAGCGAAUCCCAGAAAACCUGUCUCAGUCCGGAUUGAAGUCUGCAACUCGACUUCAUGAAGGCGGAAUCGCUAGUAACCGCGAAUCAGCAGGUCGCGGUGAAUACGUUCCCGGGCCUU